rnacentral:rRNA from 1 species
AUGGCGACGCCACCCCGGGAACCCUCCUACACACCUUGGCAUGGCUCGUCCGUGCCACAUGGUGGCCGAGAUGCUGGAGUGGAUCAAGAGCAGACCGUAGCAGCAAGAGCAAGGAUCUGGUGGUGGUUCAUGAUAUUGUACUGCAUUACUAAAUGUUCUAGGGUUGGAGAGAGCUUAGAGGGGGAAGAGGAGAAACGGCUGCGUCGGACGGUGCUCGUCAUGAUGUGCCUGGAUAGGAGGGCUAGAGCAGUCACCGUCGAGCAGGGAGGCAGCUGGAGUUGUCCGUUAUUGAGGAAAGAAUGGCAGCUCGAGGAGACUUGA